GUGCUUGCUUCGGCAGCACAUAUAUGAAAACUGGAAUGAUACAGAGAAUAUUAGCAUGCUCCCUGAACAAGGAUGACAUGCAAACUCAUGAAGCACUCCACGUUUUU